rnacentral:rRNA from 1 species
GACGAACGCUGGCGGCGUGCUUAACACAUGCAAGUCGAACGGAGAGGCCCUGCUUUUGUGGGGUGCUCGAGUGGCGAACGGGUGAGUAACACGUGAGUAACCUACCCUUGACUUUGGGAUAACUUCAGGAAACUGGGGCUAAUACCGGAUAGGAGCUCCUGCUGCAUGGUGGGGGUUGGAAAGUUUCGGCGGUUGGGGAUGGACUCGCGGCUUAUCAGCUUGUUGGUGGGGUAGUGGCUUACCAAGGCUUUGACGGGUAGCCGGCCUGAGAGGGUGACCGGCCCCAUUGGGACUGAGAUACGGCCCAGACUCCUACGGGAGGCAGCAGUGGGGAAUAUUGCACAAUGGGCGGAAGCCUGAUGCAGCAACGCCGCGUGCGGGAUGACGGCCUUCGGGUUGUAAACCGCUUUCGCCUGUGACGAAGCGUGAGUGACGGUAAUGGGUAAAGAAGCACCGGCUAACUACGUG